rnacentral:rRNA from 1 species
AGCAGCCGCGGUAAUUCCAGCUCCAAUAGCGUAUAUUAAAGUUGUUGCAGUUAAAAAGCUCGUAGUUGAAUUUCGGGAUCAGUUGGUCGGUCGUGCCUCGGUACGUACUGGUCAAAUUGAUUCCUACCUUCUGACGAACCACGAUGUCAUUAAUUUGGUGUCGCGGGAAAUCAGGACUGUUACUUUGAAAAAAUUAGAGUGUUUAAAGCAGGCUCGCGCUUGAAUACAUUAGCAUGGAAUAAUGAAAUAGGACGUUUGAUUCUAUUUUGUUGGUUUCUAGGAUCGACGUAAUGAUUAAUAGGGAUAGUUGGGGGCAUUAAUAUUCAAUUGUCAGAGGUGAAAUUCUUGGAUUUAUUGAAGACUAACUACUGCGAAAGCAUUUGCCAAGGAUGUUUUCAUUAAUCAAGAACGAAAGUUAGGGGAUCGAAGACGAUCAGAUACCGUCGUAGUCUUAACCAUAAACUAUGCCGACUAGGGAUCGGAUGAUGUUAAUUUUUUAAUGACUCA